GACGAACGCUGGCGGCGUGCCUAAUACAUGCAAGUCGAGCGGACCGGCUUGGGGCUUGCCUUGAUUCGGUCAGCGGCGGACGGGUGAGUAACACGUGGGCAACCUGCCCGCAAGACCGGGAUAACUCCGGGAAACCGGAGCUAAUACCGGAUAACACCGAAGACCGCAUGGUCUUCGGUUGAAAGGCGGCCUUUGGGCUGUCACUUGCGGAUGGGCCCGCGGCGCAUUAGCUAGUUGGUGAGGUAACGGCUCACCAAGGCGACGUUGCGUAGCCGGCCGGGGAGGGUGACCGGCCACACUGGGACGGAGACACGGCCCAGACUCCUACGGGAGGCAGCAGUAGGGAAUCUGCCGCAAGGGGCGAAAGCCUGACGGAGCGGCGCCGCGUGAGCGAGGAAGGCCUUCGGGUCGGAAAGCUCUGUUGUGAGGGACGAAGGAGCGUCGUUCUAAGAGGGCGGCGCGGUGACGGUACCUCACGAGAAAGCCCCGGCUAACUACGUG
rnacentral:rRNA from 1 species